UCCGGUGAUUUUGUCGACAGGGUCACACCCGUUCCCAUCCCGAACACGGAAGUUAAGCCUGUUGGAGCCGAUGGUACUGCACGGGUAACUGUGUGGGAGAGUAGGAAGUCGCCGGGA
rnacentral:rRNA from 1 species